GACUUACCCAUCCCGAGUAAAUUCACCUUGAUCUCGUCACUGAGGAACUGAUGGGAAAAUGAGGUCAGGUGGUGAGAACCAUGAAAAGAAACAGCAUACACAGAUGGAGCUGCAUUCCUAUUUUUUGCAUCUACUUUCUGAUACCCGGGUCUUUCUGCUCAUGUUUGAAAGCCGGUGUGGAUGAUGUUCCGGCAAGGAGAAGGCAAUGCUUUUUCCCUGGAAAUAGCUCAGCAACAGUAUCCUUCAGUGAAAGGAAUUUUCACCUCUGGAAAGUUAACACCGUUUUAAUCCCAGGUAAGAUUUCCUGCAUUUGCCAUGAACUACCUGAGAGGGUUUUUUGGCUAUGAACAAGAGAGACCUCCAUGAUUACUUCAUGUCAGCUUGAGUGCAAACCCCAGGAAAUAUGUCACAGAAGCUAAAAACAUCAGUUUUUCAGAAGUGACACCAUUUUAUUACAUGUAAUCUCUGCUUAAUUAGUUGGUCUCUGUGCUACCAUUGACACAAAUAUAAAACAGUCCGCCUGUUUAAAUUUCACUGUUGUUGACACAAGUGGGAAGGGUAUUCUGAGUCCGGGUUUCUAAUGAGGAUUUGUCUUAGGCCAGCUAAAGUGGACCUGGAUUUCAUUUCUCUGGUUUGUUUCAACAGUUGUCUCCAUUACAUGCUAUAAUUCCUGCAUGUAGCCCUUUCAACCUGGCAUAAGGACAAUAGGUAAUUCAAAUAUCUAUAUUGUCCCUGCACCCUAUAAUGGUAUUACAAUGACAAUUUUAUUACUCUCAUAAAAUUUUUGCAACUUCCCCACAGCACAUUGUAAUUUCACCAAUGGUUGUAAAAGGUCUUAAAUUAU
rnacentral:lncRNA from 1 species